UUUUUGUCGGGUAAACUAGGAAGAGACAUAGUUCCAAAACUGGAAUACAACAUCAAUCUUAAUAUUAUGGAGGCAAAGGUCAAUGUAAGUGUAUCACUUCCUAAUUCCUACCCAAGUACACCAGCUCAAAUAUCGGUGCACAGUGGGCACCUAGGAAGAACUAAUCACAAUGGGAUCAAUUUGGAACUCUGAAGUUUUUAACAUACAUUGGAGCCAGGAUCAAUCUAUAUUGGUUCAGUAGUAGAAUGGGUAAAGGAUAAUCUUCCUGCUUACUUGACCUUCCUAGAGGGAGAUAUUCUAGCCCCUAUGUCCAAAACUGAAGACAAGAAAACUUUCAGAAUGUGGAUUCAUUCUCACCACAUUUACAGCAAGUCAAAAAUGAAGAAUAUUGAAGACUGGGCUAAAUAAUUAAAUAUCACUGGUUUCUUUUUACCUGGGAAACCUGGCUUAAUGUGUGUGGAAGGAUUGGAAACAAAUUGCAACAUAUGGUGGCAAAGGAUUCGUGCACUAAACUAGCAGAAGAUUUCCUGUAUAUUAGAAGAACAUGACAAAGUCCAGAAAUUUCAAAAUUUCUCCAAUAUUGCAGAUAUCAAAGCCUCAUCAGAUUCCUCAGGCAUGAAAGCAUUCUUAAACUAUUUAGAGGAACAUCAUAGCUCACAUGUUUUCAAAGAAUACUUUGGUUUUGAUGGGAAAUAAACAGCAGCUUGUACAGA